UUGUUUUGUUUGUUUGGUGCUUGUAUUUAUCUGUUGAAUUCCCUGGCGUUGUUCUGCCAUACAUCUUCGUGUCCUGGAUUGUAUUGUUUGUUGGGGACUGGAAUCAUUUGUCUACCUGUCUACUAUUUACUGAGGACGGUGUCUGGAUUCAUUGGCUUACCCAGAAGAAGGAGCGCUUCUGAACCAUUCAUCUGUCAUCAUACUUCAACAAUUACCGGCCUGCAUCAGAAACACCUUCCUGUCCCUGGCUUUCAGAAGCACUUCACUAUCAACAGACCCACAUCAGGACAUCAGGAAAUGGAGGAAGUCAAAGACUCAGACAGACCUGGCUAAAUAUUAAUCUCUUUUUGCAUCCUUUUUUUCUGCCACCAUCAACGCUAGGCACUUGAACGUGCGGUUUCUAAACAGAUCUCUUCCUUCCUUGUACAAAAUGGAUUGCUUGAUACAAACCAGUCUGGCUUCAAGAUGAACCACUUGACUGAGAUGGCUCUACUAACGAUGGUCGACCAGCUACAACUUCCUAGAGGUACCAACAUAAAUCCUUGUAGAUCUCUCCUCUGCCUUUGAAGCAUAUAAUCACUUUUUAUGAUCACACUAUCUGACAUUAGCAUCACUGGAAGUGCUUCAGAUGGUUUGAAUCACACAUCUCGGGCAGAUGGUACAGUGUGUCCUGGCAAGGAAAGUUGUCAAAGGCACACCAGACAUGCAUAGGAUUGCCCCAAGGUUCAGUGCUGGGUUCUCUGCUUUUCUCUCUGUACACCACCUCACUCCAUCAUACAAUCCCAUGGGUUCUCUUAUCAGUGCUAUGCAGAUGAUACUCAUAUGUACCUGUCGUUCCCUCUGGAGGACAAUAUGGUAUCAGCUAGAGACUCUGCCUUUCUUACUGAUAUCUCAACCUGUAUGAAUGAUCACCACCUACAGCUCAAUUUGGAAAAACCAACAAGCUUUUUGUUAUCGCAGCCAGCAAGUCUGUUCAACUCCCCAUCUCUGUACAGCUUGACUGACUGUUGGUAACACCUGCCAAGUCUGAAUAUAAACCUGGUUUAGUGAUUAAUGAGCAGCUGUUUUUUUCUGACCACAUUUGUACUGUUUCUCAUUCAUGCAUUUUCAAGCUGUACAACAUCCGUAAGAUCAGACCCUAUCUGACAGAGUAUACCAAGUAACUUUUUGUCGCAUCUGGACUACUGCAACUCACGUCUGGCAGGAGUACCUGCAUGUGCUAUCAAGCCGCUGCAGAUGAUGCACAAUGCAGCAGCCUGUCCUGUAUUUAACCAGCUGAGAAGGGCACAUAUCACGUUUCUCUUCAGGUGACUACAUUGGAUCCCUAUGGAAGCACACAUAAAGGUCAAAUAUCUUAUGUUUUCCCUACAAGAGUAGUCAAUGGGACAGCACCUGAGUAUAUGGUGGCGCAUGUGAUUUUCUAUACUCCUUCUUGCCCAUUCAGGUCUGUCAGGGAACAGCAUCUGGUGAUUCUACCUCACUGUCUCAAUCCAGACACUUUUCCUGUGUAGUUCCUAGUUGGCGGAACAGGCUACCCAGCUCCAUCUGUACUGCUGACUCUAUCAUUGUAUUAAGAAGCACUUGAAGACCCAUCUGUUCUGUGAACAUCUGUCUAAAGGGAGAGGGAUGUAUUAUAUUCUUGCUUAAUUUGUUUAAUUUUAAUUGCCUUAUCAAUUAUAAUCAGAUUUUAGAUUAUUAGUUACUACCUAUUUUCACUUGUGGCAAUCAAAUUUUGUUACCUGUCAUAUUACACUUGGUGAACAAACAGGUCCUAGCCUAAAGUUACUCAGUUACGUUUACCUUUGUUGUAAAUUGCUUCAGAUAAAAGCGGCUGCCAAGCAAAUAAAUAAAAUGCAAAU